UACGGGGGGGGCAAGCGUUGUUCGGAAUUACUGGGCGUAAAGGGUUCGUAGGUGGCUUGUUAAGUCAGACGUGAAAUCCCUCGGCUCAACCGGGGAACUGCGUCUGAGACUGAUGAGCUCGAGUGCAGGAGAGGAACGCGGAAUUCCAGGUGUAGCGGUGAAAUGCGUAGAUAUCUGGAGGGACACCGGUGGCGAAGGCGGCGUUCUGGACUGCAACUGACACUGAGGAACGAAAGCCAGGGGAGCAAACGGG
rnacentral:rRNA from 1 species